GGGUUGUGAGGUUAAGUGACUAAGCGUACACGGUGGAUGCCUAGGCAGUCAGAGGCGAUGAAGGGCGUGCUAAUCUGCGAAAAGCGUCGGUAAGGUGAUAUGAACCGUUAUAACCGGCGAUACCCGAAUGGGGAAACCCAGUGUGUUUCGACACACUAUCAUGUCAUGAAUACAUAGUGGCAUGAGGCGAACCGGGGGAACUGAAACAUCUAAGUACCCCGAGGAAAAGAAAUCAACCGAGAUUCCCCCAGUAGCGGCGAGCGAACGGGGAGGAGCCCAGAACCUGAAUCGGCUUGUGUGUUAGUGGAAGCGUCUGGAAAGUCGCGCAGCAAAGGGGGAUAGCCCCGUACACUAAAAUGCACAGGUCGUGAGUUCGAUGAGUAGGGCGGGACACGUGACAUCCUGUCUGAAUAUGGGGGGACCAUCCUCCAAGGCUAAAUACUCCUGACUGACCGAUAGUGAACCAGUACCGUGAGGGAAAGGCGAAAAGAACCCCGGCGAGGGGAGUGAAAUAGAACCUGAAACCGUGUACGUACAAGCAGUGGGAGCACCUUCGUGGUGUGACUGCGUACCUUUUGUAUAAUGGGUCAGCGACUUAUAUUUUGUAGCAAGGUUAACCGUAUAGGGGAGCCGUAGGGAAACCGAGUCUUAACUGGGCGACUAGUUGCAAGGUAUAGACCCGAAACCCGGUGAUCUAGCCAUGGGCAGGUUGAAGGUUGGGUAACACUAACUGGAGGACCGAACCGACUAAUGUUGAAAAAUUAGCGGAUGACUUGUGGCUGGGGGUGAAAGGCCAAUCAAACCGGGAGAUAGCUGGUUCUCCCCGAAAGCUAUUUAGGUAGCGCCUCGUGAACUCAUCUUCGGGGGUAGAGCACUGGUUUCGGCUAGGGGGCCAUCCCGGCUUACCAAACCGAUGCAAACUCCGAAUACCGAAGAAUGUUAUCACGGGAGACACACGGCGGGUGCUAACGUCCGUCGUGAAGAGGGAAACAACCCAGACCGCCAGCUAAGGUCCCAAAGUCAUGGUUAAGUGGGAAACGAUGUGGGAAGGCAUAGACAGCCAGGAUGUUGGCUUAGAAGCAGCCAUCAUUUAAAGAAAGCGUAAUAGCUCACUGGUCGAGUCGGCCUGCGCGGAAGAUGUAACGGGGCUAAACCAUGCACCGAAGCUGCGGCAGCGACGCUUAGGCGUUGUUGGGUAGGGGAGCGUUCUGUAAGCCGUUGAAGGUGGCCUGUGAGGGUUGCUGGAGGUAUCAGAAGUGCGAAUGCUGACAUAAGUAACGAUAAAGCGGGUGAAAAGCCCGCUCGCCGGAAGACCAAGGGUUCCUGUCCAACGUUAAUCGGGGCAGGGUGAGUCGACCCCUAAGGCGAGGCUGAAAAGCGUAGUCGAUGGGAAACAGGUUAAUAUUCCUGUACUUGGUGUUACUGCGAAGGGGGGACGGAGAAGGCUAGGCUAGCCGGGCGACGGUUGUCCCGGUUUAAGCGUGUAGGGGGUGUGACCUGGUAAAUCCGGUUGCAUACUAACCCUGAGGCGUGAUGACGAUGCACUACGGUGCAGAAGUAGUUGAUGCCCUGCUUCCAGGAAAAUCCUCUAAGCUCCAGGUAACAUUAAAUCGUACCCCAAACCGACACAGGUGGUCAGGUAGAGAAUACCAAGGCGCUUGAGAGAACUCGGGUGAAGGAACUAGGCAAAAUGGUGCCGUAACUUCGGGAGAAGGCACGCUGGCAUGUAGGUGAAGUCCCUCGCGGAUGGAGCUGAAGCCAGUCGAAGAUACCAGCUGGCUGCAACUGUUUAAUAAAAACACAGCACUGUGCAAACACGAAAGUGGACGUAUACGGUGUGACGCCUGCCCGGUGCUGGAAGGUUAAUUGAUGGGGUCAGCCGCAAGGCGAAGCUCUUGAUCGAAGCCCCAGUAAACGGCGGCCGUAACUAUAACGGUCCUAAGGUAGCGAAAUUCCUUGUCGGGUAAGUUCCGACCUGCACGAAUGGCGUAAUGAUGGCCAGGCUGUCUCCACCCGAGACUCAGUGAAAUUGAACUCGCUGUGAAGAUGCAGUGUACCCGCGGCAAGACGGAAAGACCCCGUGAACCUUUACUAUAGCUUGACACUGAACAUUGAGCCUUGAUGUGUAGGAUAGGUGGGAGGCUUUGAAGCGUGGACGCCAGUCUGCGUGGAGCCAUCCUUGAAAUACCACCCUUUAAUGUUUGAUGUUCUAACUCGGCCCCGUAAUCCGGGGUGAGGACAGUGUCUGGUGGGUAGUUUGACUGGGGCGGUCUCCUCCCAAAGAGUAACGGAGGAGCACGAAGGUUAGCUAAUCACGGUCGGACAUCGUGAGGUUAGUGCAAAGGCAUAAGCUAGCUUGACUGCGAGAGUGACGGCUCGAGCAGGUACGAAAGUAGGUCUUAGUGAUCCGGUGGUUCUGAAUGGAAGGGCCAUCGCUCAACGGAUAAAAGGUACUCCGGGGAUAACAGGCUGAUACCGCCCAAGAGUUCAUAUCGACGGCGGUGUUUGGCACCUCGAUGUCGGCUCAUCACAUCCUGGGGCUGAAGUAGGUCCCAAGGGUAUGGCUGUUCGCCAUUUAAAGUGGUACGCGAGCUGGGUUUAGAACGUCGUGAGACAGUUCGGUCCCUAUCUGCCGUGGGCGUUGGAAGAUUGAGAGGGGUUGCUCCUAGUACGAGAGGACCGGAGUGAACGCACCACUGGUGUUCGGGUUGUCAUGCCAAUGGCAUUGCCCGGUAGCUAAGUGCGGAAAAGAUAAGCGCUGAAAGCAUCUAAGCGCGAAACUUGCCUCAAGAUGAGUCUUCCCUGGGCCUUCAAGGCCCCUGAAGGAACGUUUAAGACUAAGACGUUGAUAGGCUGGGUGUGUAAGUGCAGCGAUGCAUUGAGCUAACCAGUACUAAUGAUCCGUGAGGCUUAACCUUACAACACCGAAGGUGUUU
rnacentral:rRNA from 1 species